UUGCCAGAGAAGCUCAUCAUUAGCAAGAUCCUGCCAGACGCAUGAAGCUAGACAGAGAUCAGUUGCAUUCAGGGGUAGGUUAAACCAUGACUAACUGCUACAAAUUAUCAGGCAGGUUCAAGAAAACAAAAGCUUACUGAGUCACAGCAUAAACAGAAUAUACAACUGCCUGCAAGAAUGUAUGCAUAAAGAAGGUACCAUCUGAAGAAAUUUCAGAGAAGAAACAGUGAGCCACAAUUUAACCCAUUCCAGAACCAGGUGCAAAAAAUCCAUAAGCUUUCACAUGUGUGUAGCAGCUCAUGUGCAGUUUGUUAGAUCACUUCUUAUCUUCCUCAUUGUGCAAUUACUUUCAGCUUUGUAGUAAUUCAGGAGGAAUGCUUUGAGAACUCACUCGUAAAACAAGAAAACCCAUUGUUAUUAUAAAGACUUUUAACUAAUGGUGUCCAGAACUAUGUUUUUAAAUUACUUUGAACAUACACUUUCAAUUUCCAGAUUCAAUAGGCGACUCAAUUGUAUGUUUCCAAACUUCCAAUUAAGUAACUUUGAUUAUCUAAUCAUUAAAACCUCUUGAUAGCUUGGCUGUAAUAACUACCACAGUAAAAAUGACAUCUAGCUUGUUUAUAAAUUGCUGAUACUCUGCUGGCUCUGUCUGAUUCCGAUUUUACUCAUGUUUUCUUCAUGUUACUUUCUUACUGCAUAAUAAAUCUUUUGCAGUGUUGAUAAGCAUGAUAGGAUACUAAAAGCUAAAUGUAAUCUAGAUGAAUGCUGUAUGGGUGUCAGCCUCUGCUUUAUUAAAUUAAAUAAAAGCCCAACAUACACUCUC